UGGGGAAUUGUGUAACGGUAGCACCUGCGACUCUGACUCGCAUUGUAUGGGUUCGAAUCCUAUUUCCCCAGCCA
rnacentral:tRNA from 1 species